GAUGAACGCUGGCGGCGUGCCUAAUACAUGCCAGUCGAGCGAACAGAUGAGGAGCUUGCUCCUCUGACGUUAGCGGCGGACGGGUGAGUAACACGUGGAUAACCUACCUAUAAGACUGGGAUAACUUCGGGAAACCGGAGCUAAUACCGGAUAAUAUAUUGAACCGCAUGGUUCAAUAGUGAAAGACGGUUUUGCUGUCACUUAUAGAUGGAUCCGCGCCGCAUUAGCUAGUUGGUAAGGUAACGGCUUACCAAGGCGACGAUGCGUAGCCGACCUGAGAGGGUGAGCGGCCACACUGGAACUGAGACACGGUCCAGACUCCUACGGGAGGCAGCAGUAGGGAAUCUUCCGCAAUGGGCGAAAGCCUGACGGAGCAACGCCGCGUGAGUGAUGAAGGUCUUCGGAUCGUAAAACUCUGUUAUUAGGGAAGAACAAAUGUGUAAGUAACUAUGCACGUCUUGACGGUACCUAAUCAGAAAGCCACGGCUAACUACGUG
rnacentral:rRNA from 1 species